rnacentral:rRNA from 1 species
GACGUAGGGCGCAAGCGUUGUCCGGAUUUAUUGGGCGUAAAGAGCUCGUAGGCGGCUUGUUGCGUCGACCGUGAAAACCCGUGGCUCAACUGCGGGCUUGCGGUCGAUACGGGCGGGCUAGAGUUCGGUAGGGGAGACUGGAAUUCCUGGUGUAGCGGUGAAAUGCGCAGAUAUCAGGAGGAACACCGGUGGCGAAGGCGGGCCUCUGGGCCGAUACUGACGCUGAGGAGCGAAAGCGUGGGGAGCGAACAGG